CACAGCAUGCAAUACAUCAUUUAAAGGAAUACUUCACCCAAGAUGAUGAGCAUUUGUGUAUCAAUUCCUCAGCCCGUGGUACCUUGAAUUCUGGAAGAACAUUUUUCUUGUUUUUUUCUCAUGCAUCCACAGUGAACGGAGAAUCAAAAAACAGAGAAAAGUCUUGAUGAAUUGAAGUAAAUGGGGGUUUAACAACAGCAAAACUAUAUCAAAACAUCAGAUUUCACUUCAACACUUCUGACUCAAGUAGCGUGCUUGCGCAAGUGUGAGACUGUUUAUGCAGAGGUGUUUUAAAUAGUAAGGUUUUAGUGAAGAUGCAUGUGUUUGGGAAGUAGUGAGCAUGUGACUGGAUAAAUGAGACUUGGAUUAUACUGCACGAGUCGUGUGAGAGUCUGUUAACGGAUGUUUUGACAUAGUUUUGCUGUUGUUAACUGCGGCCCCCCAUUUACUUCAAUUCAUUAAGACUUUGCUCCGUUUUUGGAUUCUCCAUGAGAGAGGUUUU